rnacentral:pre_miRNA from 1 species
AGAGGCACCGCCUGCCCAGUGACAUGCGUUUAACGGCCGCGGUACCCUAACUGUGCA